UUGUACACUGAUUUAUUCCAGGAAUGAAGGACUCGUCUGAAUAACUCAUUCCAUAUUAUUAGUGUGGUUCGCUGGGUUCUGAGAAAUGUCCACGAUUUUGUGAAAUCUGCCCAUCUGUGAAACGCGCUUGAAAUACAGACGACCUGGAACAUGCCCAGAAUGUUCACGUGACAGUGUGUCGUGAAGAAUCAGGAUGGACAUUGCUAUGAAAUGUGUGCAAGCGCCAGACAGAAGAGACUGAGCAAAAUAAACGUUGUUCACAAGGUACAGAUGUUGACAGAGGCGAGAGGGUAAAUUCUCGAAACAAUUUGUUUCACCUUCGGAUACAGAGUUCUGCUGGAGGAUUUAGCACUCUGUCAAAUAGCUAAGUUGCUAGCUAGCUAACGUUUGCUAGUCCCCCUUCCUACUAGGAAACGUUAGCUAGCUAGCAUUAGGUAAAGCCUAAAAUGUAUUUUUGAAUAUAGAAAUGAUGCUAGAGGAUUUAGCACGAGUUCAUAUUUAGCAUGAUAUAGUUAGCUAGUGUGAUGGCUAGUUAGCUUUGCUAGCUAGCAAACGUUAGGUGCCAGCUAGAAAGCCAACAUCAACAUGACAGAAUUUCCAUGUGUUUAGCUGGCGUUUUUGGAUUAGUAUGCUAGCUAGCUAGUUAUCUAACCUUUAAACUCAGGUAGCUUUGUCUAGGUAGGUAGCUGACAAGUUAGCUAGUUAGCAUCCUUUGUCAGAAAACUAGUGGUUCCAUUUUUAAGAAUAACGUACUGUAAUGAAACAGCAGGGAGCAGGUUUCAAACCCUCGACAUUCUAGCCCGAGGUCCGGCCCGCUAUCGACUGCCACAAAAGCAUGCUCGUGCGACAGAGUCGAUUUCCGUGUUUAUAAACCCAGGGUCGUUACACUACUCCCUCCUUUCAAAGAGCGCGUCCUCGCGACUCUACGUCUUACAGGAACGCGCUCACCGGCCAAGCACACGCACUGUCGUGGAUGCAAGGUCCGAUCACUUCUGACACCAGUGUAAUGAAACAGCAGGGAGUAGGUCUCGAACCCUUGACCUUCUAGCCCCAGAUCCCUCAGACUCCAGGAUGGGAAAAUGCUUAUGUAACGGAUGUGAAAUGGCUAGCGAGGGGACAGUUUAAAGUUAUACUGUUACACUUAACAAGAAAGAAAAAGAUGGAGACACAGAAGGAGACCAUGAGACCCGCUGUUUUAUUUUAAAUCGUUAAUCUGUUGACAUUUUAUAUUCUGACUUGUAACAUUAAUGUUAAAAAGGGUAGAAAAAGACACCCCCUGUUUAUUUAAAUUAGCUAGGCUACUCACUAUACCAAUGAUAGGCUACAGAUUUGAGUCACUGCGAUUAAAAUUGUUUCCCCAAUGUAUCUUUCUAUUAAAUUACAUUUUGUUCUUA